GUUUUGAGUAAACAUGUGAUCUCUGUUCCCCUUUUUAAAUAAAGCAUAUUAGAUAUUCAUACAAUUGAGAGGCGAUAUCAUCCAACAACACACCCACACACACACUUAUAUAAAAACUUGCAGUCGGCAAAUGAGUUUCACACACUGCAAUCGAUCAACUCUACAGGUGUAACACCAGGGCAGCGGGUUUUGAUUCCGACGAGUUGCUCCACGCGAGGUUCGCUUCGCAGAGGUUUGGUUCGUGACCUCCGAGAAGACGUCUCAUACGCAGACACUCACUGCGGACAAAGGGUAUAAAUAUCAGAAGACAUCAUCUAAUACCCUCAGCCGUGCAAAUCCAUCCAUGUGUAUGAUAUGCCUCCAUUCUGGGAUAAGGUCAGAAUUAAAUUGGGCUCCCACUGCAGGGAGAAUGACAAUAUUUGCUAUUCUUGAGAUCAUUAUCUCCGAUUUCAUCAGGGCAUGAGGUAAACCAAAAUUGCAAGAGCACACGCUGUCACUGUACGUACAAAUCAAGCACCGCCGAGAUUAGUGACGCUUCCUCACCGACUUUAUGAAAUAUAUGCCAGAGUGUAUACGUGAGCAAGGGGGAGCGAAUGCUUACAUUUUUUUUUUUUGAUCGUUAACUAAACAAUAUUUGGUUGUUGCUAAGUGACCGUGAGGAUGAUUCAACCUCCCUCAGGCAAAGGGACAUGCCAACGUGAAUGAAUAAUACUGAGCAGACCGGCCCAACUCAGAAGGAAAAUGGUGUUGUUAUGAGCCCAGUGAUGUAGCUGUUAUUGUUCGCUGCAUACGAUGCUUCUCUGUCACAGACAACGACGUCCUCGCAACACUUUAAAAGAGACUUUGUGCCUUCGGCUGAUUCUUUUAUUUUCACUGCCUACAUUCAUCGGCUAAUUUCAGUAUUUCUAAGACUUAAUUUGAAACCUUGAGGGUCGUGCGAUGCUUGUGGAGGAGGUUUGUGUCGCCAGAUGAAAUGCUAUUAAAUCUCUUGCUACUGAUGUUUCUUUCCUUACACAUUGAGCUAGCAGCUCAAUAGAUGAAUGAUCUUAUCUAAUUGUGUUUCUGAGUGAAGCCGUGAUGUCAGUCGAGGUGAAAUGCUGAGAAGCGCUGACGGACGCGCAUAAACCACAAGAAUGAGAAAUAAGAGGUUUCGAGCGGCAAAAGAAGUUUGAGUAAGCGGAGAACUCGCACAGUUGUUGUCCAAACGCACCAACAACUAGCGAGCUGCCUCAAGGUACGAGGCUUUAGUGCGGGAAGAGACGGGUCCUGUGUGUUUCAUCGCCUUUGUUUGCAGGAGAAGUGAACUGUACUCGAU
ensembl:lncRNA